ensembl:lncRNA
AGUUCAGUGUCAAAGAAAAAUCAGUAACAAAUAAAGCUGUAUCAGAAUGCAUGGAAAGUCAUUUCUGUCACAAUAAGAAAAAAAAAGCUGCAGUCUCUCUCCUCCGCUAACAUCGGCACGAGUCGUGUAGUGUCAGGCCGGACGAUGCAGGACUGUCUGCUCAGGACACGCAUGAUCCCAGUGAGGGAUGAGGAGGCAGAGUCUCAGAGGAAGGCCAAAUCACGGCAGGCCAGACAGACUCGACGAGCUACACAGGGAGUUACCCUCUCAGAGUUGUUGGAGGCAAAGAGAGCCUUCAGCCCGUCAAAUAGAAGAGUCCCCGAGGACACGACAGAAACCAGCCCGGCUCUGAGGGAGGAACAGCUGUCUGACAAACACCCGUGUGAACACCUGGAUAAGCAAGGAAACUGGAAAAGAAGACCAAGAAGCAAACCUGAAAGGUCAUCUUUUAGCCUCUCAUCAUCAGUUAAAGGAGCGUGUGGUUUCACCCCCAGUCUGAGGAGUCGCAGCACCUGCAUUGAGUCUGAGUGCACAGAUGAAAAUGACAACAUCCUUCACGGUUCCUCGGAUGCGUCUCUGACACAGCAGCUGACUGAAGACCGUGAUCUCAGCGCUGAACUCACUCAGGUACCACUAGUGUGCUUAUUCAUUGCUGUUUUAAACGUACAGUAUAUUGUUAUAUUUAUACAUUGCUCAUAUGAGAAGCAC